AUUGAACGCUGGCGGCAGGCUUAACACAUGCAAGUCGAGCGGAGCGAGGGUGCUUGCACCUUAGCUUAGCGGCGGACGGGUGAGUAAUGCUUAGGAAUCUGCCUAUUAGUGGGGGACAACAUUCCGAAAGGAAUGCUAAUACCGCAUACGCCCUACGGGGGAACGCAGGGGAUCUUCGGACCUUGCGUUAAUAGAAGAGCCGAAGUCGGAUUAGCUAGUUGGUGGGGUAAAGGCCUACCAAGGCGACGAUCGUAGCGGGUCUGAGAGGAUGAUCCGCCACACUGGGACUGAGACGCGGCCCAGACUCAUACGGGAGGCAGCAGUGGGGAAUAUUGGACAAUGGGCGGAAGCCUGAUCCAGCCAUGCCGCGUGUGUGAAGAAGGCCUUUUGGUUGUAAAGCACUUUAAGCGAGGAGGAGGCUACUUAGAUUAAUACUCUAGGAUAGUGGACGUUACUCGCAGAAUAAGCACCGGCUGACUCUGUGCCAGCCGCCGCGGUAAUAC
rnacentral:rRNA from 1 species